rnacentral:rRNA from 1 species
GGCGUGCAUAGAUGAGUCGAGCGGACAGAUGGGAGCUGCUCCCUGAUGUUAGCGGCGGACGGGUGAGUAACACGUGGGUAACCUGCCUGUAAGACUGGGAUAACUCCGGGAAACCGGGGCUAAUACCGGAUGGUUGUCUGAACCGCAUGGUUCAGACAUAAAAGGUGGCUUCGGCUACCACUUACAGAUGGACCCGCGGCGCAUUAGCUAGUUGGUGAGGUAACGGCUCACCAAGGCGACGAUGCGUAGCCGACCUGAGAGGGUGAUCGGCCACACUGGGACUGAGACACGGCCCAGACUCCUACGGGAGGCAGCAGUAGGGAAUCUUCCGCAAUGGACGAAAGUCUGACGGAGCAACGCCGCGUGAGUGAUGAAGGUUUUCGGAUCGUAAAGCUCUGUUGUUAGGGAAGAACAAGUGCCGUUCAAAUAGGGCGGCACCUUGACGGUACCUAACCAGAAAGCCACGGCUAACUACGUGCCAGCAGCCGCGGUAAUACGUAGGUGGCAAGCGUUGUCCGGAAUUAUUGGGCGUAAAGGGCUCGCAGGCGGUUUCUUAAGUCUGAUGUGAAAGCCCCCGGCUCAACCGGGGAGGGUCAUUGGAAACUGGGGAACUUGAGUGCAGAAGAGGAGAGUGGAAUUCCACGUGUAGCGGUGAAAUGCGUAGAGAUGUGGAGGAACACCAGUGGCGAAGGCGACUCUCUGGUCUGUAACUGACGCUGAGGAGCGAAAGCGUGGGGAGCGAACAGGAUUAGAUACCCUGGUAGUCCACGCCGUAAACGAUGAGUGCUAAGUGUUAGGGGGUUUCCGCCCCUUAGUGCUGCAGCUAACGCAUUAAGCACUCCGCCUGGGGAGUACGGUCGCAAGACUGAAACUCAAAGGAAUUGACGGGGGCCCGCACAAGCGGUGGAGCAUGUGGUUUAAUUCGAAGCAACGCGAAGAACCUUACCAGGUCUUGACAUCCUCUGACAAUCCUAGAGAUAGGACGUCCCCUUCGGGGGCAAAGUGACAGGUGGUGCAUGGUUGUCCUCACCUCGUGUCGUGAAAUGUUGGGUUAAGUCCCCGACCACGCGCACCCUU